UCCUGGCUAGCUCAGUGGUAAAGAAUCUGCCUUCAGUGCAGCAGACCCAGGUUCUAUCCCUGGGCGUGAAG
rnacentral:tRNA from 1 species